rnacentral:lncRNA from 1 species
CUGAUGUUCUCCUGUUGAGUGCCCAGAGUACACCUUGUUCCAGCAGCCUGGGUCCCAGUGGCAACAGAUGCUGGAGAGGUGAGGCAUCCCCAUGCUGCUGCCCAAUUGGCUGUCCCCCAAGCUCCUUCUGUGGUGGCAAUUCUUUGAUCACACUGACACUUGCUCUGAAGAUAUCUACUCCACUCAAGGUGGCCUUCUCACCUCUGGAAGGAGGCCAGGAAAGCUGCAGUUUUCGCCUCAUAUCAGGAAUUCCGUAAAAAUGUGUUGCACGCGUGAAUGUCCCAGCCUGGCAUAGGUCCAUGCCUGGCCUUUCACCUGAAGCCAUAGAGGUUGGAAUCUAAGGCCUGAAAACCCAGGGAAUGGAUCCAGGCCCAGCAACUGACCAACAACUGACCAACCCAGGGCACCAGCACCAUUGUGGCCAAGCUCCCAGGAGAAGAGUAGCUGGUUUUGGUUAGUUAAUAUAUUUUUGUAAUGGCUGACAUUGAAAAAAAAAUGCCUUCUGGAAUAAGUAAGCAUUUAAAAAAAAUUUUAUCACCGCACCUAUGGCAUGUGGAGCUCCUGGUCUAGGAAUCAAAUCUGAGCUGCAGCUGUGACCCACACCACAGCUGUGCAACACUGGAUCCUUAACCCACUGCACUGGGCCAAGGAUUGAACCUGUGCUGCCCCAGAGACAAUGCUGGAUCCCCAGCCUGAUACACCACAGUGGGAACUCCUGGAAUAAGAAAGCUUUUUAGUGAGCUAAUUAGUUUGGACUCUAAAAAUAUUGUACUCUAUUGGUCCCAUCAUUCUUAACUCCACUGAAUUGUAUGGACUAGUUUAUUUACUAGUUGUCUCAUGACAACCUCAUAUGAUGUAGGUAUUAUUAUUCCCAAUAAACAGAUAAGGACACUGCA